UCUUAAACGUUUUUCCCAAAACACACACAGGGAAUUUUUCUUUAAAACACUUCUAAACUAAAGUUUUAUUGGUCGAGACUAUUUAUUGGUCUAAGCCCCUUAGUAAAACAUUUACUGAAGCUUUUUAAGUCUUUGUUUUAUAGAUUGGCCGAGGGAAGCAGUCAAAAUCAAGCUCUAGGAGCGUUUUAUUUGAGUUGCUGUUUCAAGAGCUUAAAGAAAAACACAAGUAGGAGUACUUGUGGUUGCAAUGGAUUAAGGAAAGAAGUAGUCCAUGGACUCGAAGCUGUCACGUGAUCGUGGUAGUAAGUUUUCUACUCAAGGUAGCAAUAGAAUGUUAGUGAUUUAAGUCUUAUUGUACAAACUUCAAUUCUUUCAUAGUGGAUCUGUUUUACCUUGAAGAUAGCUAGGUUAAAUCUUCCCUAGGUUUUUUACCGGUUUGGUUUUCCUGGGUUAUUAUAUCGUUGUGUUAUUUACCUUUUUGCAUUAUUUACAUGAUAUGAUUUGAAUGUAUUAACCUAGAUCUGAAUAAUUUAUCUAAGUAAUCACUUGGCUAAAUAACUAGGUUAAACUUCUUGUGUUUUAAGAGGUCUAAAAACGUAAAAUAAUAAUGAUAAUAUCUUAAUUUUGAAGGAAAAAUCAUAAUUAAAAAAAAAAAAAAAACCUUAAUCUCAAUCCCAAGAAGAUCAACAACAGCAAUACCACCAACAAAACCCACAAUCUCAUUCUUAAUCCCCUCCAAUCUCUAGUUAUGUGCUUGUUAAAGACUUCUCUUUCUUCUUGUUUUUCGCGUUCUUUGUGUGUUCUUCCAAUGUUCCUUUUUUUUUUUUUUUUCCAAAGAUUUAUGGUGAAAGUUCUUUGGGGUUUUAAAGCUUGAAUCUGAUGAAUUUUUUAUGGAUCAAAGUCUUGGAAGUUUCUAGAGGUUUUGAAACUUGAUUUGAAUAAAACUUUGAAACUUGGAAUGAUGAUUUGGAUGAAUGUUCAUCAUAUUUGUAGAUUUGUGGUGGAAGUAUUUCGGGACUUUAGAGGCUUGAAUCUAUAGAGUUUCACUAUUUUGUAGUAUCUUGGAGUUUCCAAAGGCUUUGAGCUUAAUUCAAGUGAACUUUGAGAUCUUAAAAAAUUAUUUGAAUGAUUUCUCUUUAAAUGCUCUUCGUAUUCAAAUGUUGAAGUUCUUGGAGAUUUUAGAGUUUGAUUCUAGCAAAGUUUCGAGACUUCUGAAUAUGUUUCCUCGUGACUCAAGAAAACCUCUAUUUAUAGGAGUCUUGGGGUGGUGUGAUGACACAUGAUUAACUCUAACUGUUGACACAUAUCAUAAUUUAAAUGGAUGGACUUUUAUGUCUUGUUCUCUAAGGAACAUAUGACAUUAUUUGAUUAGUAAAAGUGUCUUUAUUUAAAAUAACACAUAACAAUAUUUAAUUAAACUACUCAUAUCAUUUUCAAUUAAAUAUCAACACAUGUCGAAGUGUGAUUGGCUUUUAGAUAUUGUUUAUAAUUUCUAUUAAAUGACAUUUGGACUAUUUCCAUUGGUCUUUGAAUAGUGACAAUGAAACCCACUAAGUACCAUGUGGCAUCUUGUAAUUGGCCGCUUUGAAUGUAUUACGUGGACUUGAUGGUAAAACAUUGUAAUUUGUGAUUGGUCAAAAAAAUUUCCUUUCUACAAAGUAAUUCCUUAUUUUUCUAGGCUAAAAAUGCAAAUUUUGACAUUUUAGUAUCCAUAUUGGUAUUUUGACACUAAUAUUGAAGUUAGAUAAAAUAUGUUAUCGAAAUUUUAUAUUAAUAUAAGCAGAUAUAUCAAGAAGAAAAUUUUCGUACAAUCGUACAAGGCUUCCCAAUAUUUUUCUAGAAUUACUGUUCAAACCACCUCAAUUGCAUGUUGGAAAAACAUGGUUUGUAUCGCAUACAAAAUAUAAGCAGCAGAAACUCAACGGAUCUAUUUCAUUCGCAAUUGACAACAUAUAGUAUGUAAAUUUCAAAAUUUAAGAAUAAGAGAGCAUGCCUUGGUACAGUGAAAUUCAAAAACAAAGAUUGGAAGUACUUGGGAACAUUUUUAAUCUUCACUCCAAUUCCACUUAUGCCCAAGAAGUGUGGUCUCUCAAUCAGUUUAUAUAUAUAUGUAUUCAAGGAAGAAUAAAAGAGUGGCUUACACUCACAUACACACCAUUUCAUUAUAAUAAUAAAAUUUUGUAUGUUCCUCUUUUUAUAUAUAACUGAUUAUCUAAUUGGACUAGCCUUUUAAGCUAUUCCAAUUGGACUUUAGUA